UUCUGGAGGCUGGAAGUCCUAGAUCCAGGGGUCAGCAGGAUUGGUUUCCUCAGGGAUCUCUCCCUCCUUGCUUUGUGGAUGACUGUUUGCUCCCUGUAUCUUCACAUGGUCUUCCCGCGAUGUCAGCAACAUGGUGAAGUAGUCUUCUGCUGUCUUCUUUGGGAGGAACUCCGAUUUUGACAGCUGCCCACGGAUGAGAAUGCUUUGGGGAAGUCUAGGAGUUCAGCAGAGAAGCUCCAGCACAUCAUUGAAGAAAAAAAAUCAGGACUGGACACAUGAAAAUGUGGUGAAAAAGAAAGCAUCCUGUGCGGUUAUCCGGGAGGCCUCAUGAACUUGGCCCGACAUCGCAGCUGUCCAUGACCUCCGCAGCCAUUGCCCCAGAAACCAGCUGGCUUCCCGCAGCUGAGAACUGGCAGCCCCUGCCUCAGCUCCCCCCAGCGCUUCUCGUUUUCUGCUCUGAAUAUGUCUCCUUAGCACUCAGGAUCUGUGGCACGUUGCUUUCUAGCAGAAAGAAGCUUUCUCAGAGGGAAUCUAAAAUAGGCAGUGCAAAGACACCUGUGAUUUCUCUCAGCGUACUCCGAGCCACACGGGUGCCAAAGGGGAAAGAAGAUGACAGAAGAUUCACCAUCUUCCCAGGGCAUGGCUUUGAAAUGCAAAUUCGUUUCCACUUGACCACAGACCAAGAAGGCACGAUGGGCAUCGGCAAUGAAGGAGGCGUUCAGAGAUCCGGCGGCAAGAAAGGGGGAAAGUGGACUGAAAAUAAAAGUGUGCAGAGCUUCCCGUGGGACAAUGACCAUCUAACAUUCGUGUCCCUGGAGUCCCCAGCCUUUGGCCAGGGAGAGACAGGACACCAAGGGGAACUGGAGAGGAAAUUCCACUCCUUCCAGAAGCCUUUCCGAAAUGCAAUCGUUUAUAUCCUGCCUGAACACAUUCUGCAAGGCCAGUCUUUGCACUUUUGCUGUUCACGAAGCUGA
rnacentral:lncRNA from 1 species